UACGUAGGGGGCAAGCGUUGUUCGGAAUUACUGGGCGUAAAGGGCGCGUAGGCGGCCUGUUAAGUCGAACGUGAAAUCCCCGGGCUCAACCCGGGAACUGCGUCCGAUACUGGCAGGCUUGAAUCCGGGAGAGGGAUGCGGAAUUCCAGGUGUAGCGGUGAAAUGCGUAGAUAUCUGGAGGAACACCGGUGGCGAAGGCGGCAUCCUGGACCGGCAUUGACGCUGAGGCGCGAAAGCCAGGGGAGCAAACAGG
rnacentral:rRNA from 1 species